GAGUGUGCCAGGCAGUGGAGAUACAGUGAUAAAUGCUUGCUGAAGAGCGCUAAGGGACAAUGUCCAGAAAAAGAGCAGGCCUAACGGCAUCUUUUUAGCAAGUUUCCUGGCAGUAAAGUGAAAAAGGAUGAAUGACAGCAACUUAGUUUACUUGCAGCUUCCUGUAAAUUUAGUCAUCUGAACAAGAGGGGACUGAACUGUUUCAAAACAGAAAGCAAUUGUUUCAUGGACACUGGCCAGUCUACAAGCAGAGCACUCUCAUGGGGAGCACCAGAUGAGUUCCAGCCGCAGUUCUUUUAUAAGCUUUAAGUGCCUCAUGAAGACGCGAGGAUCUCUUCCAAGUGCAACCUGGUCACAUCAGGGCACAUUCAGCAGCAGAAGUCUGUUUCCAGUAUAGUCCUUGGUAUGGCUAAAUUCCACUGUCCCUUUCUCAGCAGUCAAUAAUCCAUGAUAAAUUCUGUACAACACUGUAGUCAAUAACAGCAGCACCAGACAGCAUAUUAAUUCUUUUACCAUAAAUUUGUGUGUAAUUAUAAUGUUCUAUGUGUGGUGUUAUCAAAAGAAUCACUGUGUCUCUAAAUAUCAUAUAUGUAUGUCUGGAUAAAUACAUUGCUGUACAACAUCUCCAACAUGCAGGUCAUGCUCUAGGACUUGGGGAUAUAGAGUAAUACAUGUUUCGUGGCCAAUAAUAAAAGUGACAAUUGUCUUCCUAACAAAAAAUAAACAUGAGAAAUAGGAAUUAAUCAGCAGUCUCAAGGCUCCCAAAUGCCUUAGUGAUAUUAUUUAUCCCUCUAUUUAUAUUACGGUCUUUUUCUUCCCUCACAUGCUCAAUACAUGAGACACGCUAUUGCUGUUGAAUUCAUAGGAAUGCAUAAAUAGACUUUCUUCCACUCAGACUGAAUAUGACUCCCUAAGGAUUUUGUUGGAGUGUAGUAAUGAAUGCUGGUUGCUAGGUAGUAGAAACUGACACUGCAGCAGGCAACCAAGUGCAAUGGUGAAAUUGCUGCUUAAACCCUGCUUAUCAAAAAGAUUCACAGUGCCGAUUAACUUAGGUAGUCUACAGAGCAUCAUUAAUUUAUACACAAAGCAGAGAGGCUGCUCCAAAUAGCAAAAAAUGGUAUGGAGUCGGGUUUGGAGGGAGUAAAUAUUAAAAUCAUAAACAUCUUACAGAGGCAUUUCUGUGCUUCAUGGAGACAGAUGGCAUAUACAGGAAAGACAGGGAGCUAAGACAGACAAGAACAACAUACAGGACAAAGCACCUGAUUAAACACUGCCUGAAAAUCUGAUUAAUCUUUUGACUCAGGAAUUUAAGGCUAGUCAAAAAAGCCUUCUGUGAACACCAGUGACAUUUGAUGUUUGCACAAAAAAUUAAUAAAUAAAAAUAAAAUAAGGGGGUAAAAAAAAGACACAAGAGCUUUGGGUGAUAUUUGGCACUCUGCCUCUGAAAAUGAUGACAAACCCUGGGUAUUUUUUUUUUUUAAAGAGUCUAGAACCAAGCAGCAAUUUCUGGCUAAACAAUGCAAGCCUGGCUGGCAGUUACCUUUCUCUCAUGUUUUGUGCCUUCCCCAAGUCAUUAAGUAAGAGAUCUGGCCUCGGCUUGCGUGUAACCAGUAAUGACAACCUCUUUGCAGUUAUCUGUGUGCAAACAACCAGAGACAUUCAGAACUCCAAUACAGCAUUUUUGAAGAAAAGUAAAUCAAUCAAGAAAUUAAACUAUUUAAAACAUAUAUUUCUUUCAAAUAAUAAGAAAAAAAUGUCAAGGAGAAAAGUGCCCUCCCUGCCCCACAAUUCAACAUGCAGAACAGUCGACCAAUGCUUUCAUAUCAGCAGGAUGGUUCGAUGCAAGUACACAUAUCCUGAGCUAUCCACAGUCCCCGAACUCUGCAACAUUGCUUUCAGGUGAUAGAGACAAGAUGGUCCAUGCAAAUGAGCUGACACAAGUCAUGUCGUGUGCAAUCAAGAUAGGAUCCCAGACAUCUUCAGAAUGGUUUACAGUCACAAGAAAUAAAGUUCCAAUGAAGUGGUUGGCAUUUGGAAGCACACUGUUUUAAAUAUAUCUCCCUGAAGGUAUGUUUAUAUAUUAGUGCACUGGUCAAUAUCUGACACUAUCUGUCAUUUUAUUGCAAAAGGAUAUCAGGGCAAUUAAUAGGAGGGAUCUUAGCACUACUUUAGACAAUCUUUAAAGCCUGGGUAAGAUUCAUUAGCUACCCAAGUGGCAUUUCUGACUUCAAAUUGUAGUAUCAUGCAAGAUUUAUACUGUAUUAAUGGAGCCUGGAGUAACUCUACAUUUAAUUAUUUCCAUUAUGGGGUAAACAGCACUUGAAUUAAUACAAUUUAGCCGACUGAUGCAGUUUGGUUGUUUGGUUUACAAGAUAGAUGGGAUGGGAGAUCGAGAGCGCCUCAGAGGACAAGGAGAGUUGUAGGGUGAUGUUACUGGAGAGAGCCUCAGAGCAUUGCCUGCCAAGCCCGCUAUGUUGUUUAAGCUUCGGGAUUUUUCAUAUCCUUUUAUGAAAAAAUGCACAGACAUCAGUUGAAUUCAACCAGAAUAUAGACAGACAAAUAAUACCAUGCAGGGCAAUCAAAAGUGCUACUUUCAAGCUCAAAGAAGAAUUUGUUUACAAAGAAUUUAAU
ensembl:lncRNA novel transcript, antisense to KCNC2